rnacentral:tRNA from 1 species
GUCUCCAUCGUCUAGUGGUUAGGACAUCAGGUUUUCAUCCUGACAACAGCAGUUCGAUCCUGCUUGGAGAUGCCA